AUGAAAAUUGUACCUUACAGAAAAGGAUUUGGUUGCAAGAAAAAUGACAAGGAUAACCGGGGUAUUGCAGGGGCCACUAACGAGGUGGCGACCCUGAAGGAGGCGGUGGCCGCGGCCGAAUGCAAUGCGGCUGCGGAGCGCACCGAGCGAGAGAAACAGGAGGCGCGGGUGGCGGAGGUACAACAAGACCUCCAGGAUCUCGUGAAGAAACACGAGAGCCUGGAGCGUGACUCGAAGACUCGAGAGUCUGAGCUUGCAACGGCUCUUGAGAGUGCCAAAGCCGCUAAGGCCGAAGCCUACAAGGCCCUCCAGGAGAUCGAGGCGGCAAAGAAAAUAGCAGCGGGUAAGGCAUUUUUCGUGCAAAGUAAGCAUGUGAGUGUUAAUUACCUGUCGCUUACCCGAAUUCGGAGCUCUCUAGGAGCGUUCGCAGAUCUUCCUUGCAGCGUGUCCGAUGCUACCGCAUUCUACCAAGCCGAGGAGGGGAGCUCGACAGAGAAGGUCUUCUGGUCUCAGUAUGCUGAGGCCGAACAUCCGGUGCCCCUUAGCGACCAGCUGAAGCAGUUGGUCGAGCUCCACAAGUCGGCCGAACAGGCCAUGAAGGGCCUCAUAGUUCGGUUGUGGCCUAAGGAGGCCAUGCGUGGGAGCUACUUUGGCCUGGUGCGGCGGCUGGUGGAUGCAUGCCCGUCGGUUGAAGUCAUCAAGCACUCCGCCUGUAUUGAAGGUGCCCGUCGGGCCCUUGCCCGCGCAAAGGUGCACUGGGGCAAGAUGGAUGCCCAGAAGCUUGUGACGGACCCACCACCAGAGGGCAAGGAUUAUCGUAUGCCCGAGAUGUAA
rnacentral:rRNA from 1 species